AUAAAACUCGCAGCUAACAUUCGCUGCAUAAACCGGCAUCUGGAGUUGGUCAAUCUUCUUGGUUAGAAGCUCCACCUGAGUUGCCAAGGCUACUGUAGAAUCCAUUUGGUUGACCCCUCCUUGUCUUCCCGGUCAGCUCCUAGAGGAUUGCCACUGAUAAUUGUUCAUGGCCAUUUCCUCUAUCAAGUUUUGAGCCUGCUCAGGCGUCUUACU
rnacentral:lncRNA from 1 species